UUUUACCCGGCUACCAAGGGAGGGGGAUAACACACACACACACAAAAAAAAUUCUAAAAUGAUAAAAUGAUAAUAAAGCUUACAAAAGGACAACGAUACCGACACAAAUAUCAGAUGAGACAAUUUUGAUAGCAGACGAAUUAAACAGCGAGAUUUCCUUCUGCCGCUGUCAUAACGGAGGGAAGCAAUUUCAUGCUAAUUAAUUAGCACUGGCUACUUCUUCCUGUAUGUUUGCUCUGAGAUCUCCCAGCUCUUGACAGCUCAGCCUGCAAAAUGCCAUUUCCUCUCCGCACAGCAACACUGCAAGUAAUCGUAUGAAGGCCUGAUGCUUCUGGACACGUACCUCGUUCCUGAUUUGCAUAUGUAAUGCAGCCAUACUUAAUGAAUCAAAGAAUAAAUGGUUUCAGCACAACUGGUCAAAGUCAGGACGUGAAUACAAAGAUCAGG